CCUACGGGAGGCAGCAGUAAGGAAUAUUGGUCAAUGGAGGCAACUCUGAACCAGCCAUGCCGCGUGCAGGAUGACGGCCCUAUGGGUUGUAAACUGCUUUUAUACAAGAGAAAACCCUGGUACGUGUACCAGGUUGAUAGUAUUGUAAGAAUAAGCAUCGGCUAACUUCGUGCCAGCAGCCGCGGUAAGACGAAGGAUGCAAGCGUUAUCCGGAUUCAUUGGGUUUAAAGGGUGCGUAGGCGGACUGAUAAGUCAGUGGUGAAAUCUCUUUGCUUAACAAGAAACUGCCAUUGAUACUGUCGGUCUAGAGUAUAGAUGACGUUGGCGGAAUAUGACAUGUAGUGGUGAAAUACUUAGAUAUGUCAUAGAACACCGAUUGCGAAGGCAGCUAACGAAACUAUAACUGACGCUGAGGCACGAAAGUGCGGGGAUCAAACAGGAUUAGAUACCCUGGUAGUCCGCACCGUAAACGANNAUACUCGUGUG
rnacentral:rRNA from 1 species